AGGAUGGUGUGGAUUGCACUCUCAGCAAGUUUGCAGAUGACACUAAACUGGGAGGAGUGGUAGAUAUGCUGAAGGGUAGGGAUAGGAUACAGAGGGACCUAGACAAAUUGGAGGAUUGGGCCAAAAGAAAUCUGAUGAGGUUCAACAAAGACAAGUGCAGAGUCCUACACUUAGGACGGAAGAAUCCCAUGCAUUGCUACAGACUAGGGACUAAAUGGCUAGGCAGCAGUUCUGCAGAAAAGGACCUAGAGGUUACAGUGGACGAGAAGCUGGAUAUGAGUCAACAGUGUGCCCUUGUUGCCAAAAAGGCUACCGGCAUUUUGGGCUGUAUAAGUAGGGGCAUUGCCAGCAGAUCGAGGGACGUGAUCGAUCCCCUCUAUUUGACAUUGGUGAGGCUUCAUCUGGAGUACUGUGUCCAGUUUUGGGCCCCACACUACAAGAAGGAUGUGGAAAAAUUGGAAAGAGUCCAGCGGAGGGCAACAAAAAUAAUUAGGGGACUGGAACGCAUGACUUAUGAGGAGAGGCUGAGGGACCUGGGACUGUUUAGUCUGCGGAAGAGAAGAAUGAGGGGGGAUUUGAUAGCUGCUUUCAACUACCUGAAAGGGGAUUCCAAAGAGGAUGGCUCUAGACUGUUCUCAAUGGGUAGCUGAUGACAGAACAAGGAGUAAUGGUCUCAAGUUGCAGUGGGGGAGGUUUCGGUUGGAUAUUAGGGAAAACUUUUUCACUAGGAGGGAGGUGAAACACUGGAAUGCGUUACCUAGGGAGGUGGUGGAAUCUCCUUCCUUAGAUAUUUUUAAGGUCAGGGUUGACAAAGCCCUGACUGGGAUGAUUUAGUUGGGGAUUGGUCCUGCUUUGAGUAGGGGGUGGGACUAGAUGACCUCCUGAGGUCCCUUCCAACCCUGAUAUUCUAUGAUUCUAUAAGAAGCCCCCCCACCAGGACCCAGAGCUGCUGUAGGAACCAGAAUCUGAUAUUGGUAAGUUUUACAAUGAACCCCCACCCUUCCUCUGGUGAUAUAUGCCUCAGCCCAGCCCUCCAGCCCACUUCAGCAUGGUCCCAUAGCAGCACACAGCUUUAAAUCAAUGAUUUUAUUGAAAUCCCAUGAACCACUAGAAAGCAUUUAACAGAAGCCAUAACAGGCCCUUGUGUCUGUGCAUUUCUUGGCUAUCACUGACAGCAAUAGUUCAGGUGCUUCACAAAAUAGUGGGGGAAAGAAGGGGCAGGCUGAGUGCUAUAAGGCCCCAGGUGGGGAAAGAACAGUUUCAUGACACACAUGGUUGUGCAAUGAUCCAACAUUAUUCCUCUCCCACCACAUAUCCUGUCUUUCCUUCCUCUUAUGAAUGGGAGCCGAAUGGAGGGGGGAUGGGGAUGCUUAGUUCCUUGUGUGCAGGCCUGCCUACGUCCGGGAACACAAAGGGAACUGUUCGGUUGUCCAAGGAACAUCAGAGUAGUCCAUUCUCCCUGUGAUCACUUCAAAUGUUUUGUACCAUUCCCAGUACCUGGUGUCUGGCCUCUCCCUAUGCUGAGCCGCUCUGCAGAAGCCAGGAGAAGCACGGGAUAUUCUGAUGCCAACAAAGAAGCCAUUCCGGUGGAAAGGCAGGAGUUCCACAGAGAUCACAGAGGAAGACGCAGAAAGACCUGUUCAUUGGCAUAGAUGGAAGUCAGGAGCAGUUCAAGUUUCUUAGAGCAAGGAAGGAUUGGGCUCUUAGGCAUGGUUAAGGCUUUCCUGAAAAUGGAGAGUUUCACAGGCAAUGGGAGUACAUCAGAGGGAACAAGAUCAUGCACUCAGAAAAUCCUUAGUCCAACCAGCAUGCUUCUAGGCCCUGCCCACCACUGUAGCACCUGCUCCUCUGCAUGAACAAACAGCAGCUCCUCCUUCUCCUAGUCCUCCUCCAUCUGCCUGCCAGGCUGCUGCUGAGGCAGUGAAUCCCACCACCAUCCCUGACAGGAAGGAACAUGCUCGAUGCCUGGCACAACAUCCUCCGCAGGCACCUGAAACCCCUCGAGAGGGGAACCCCCCAGAACAUUCAGGAGGGGAACGAUGAGCCUGAUCCAGUUCUUGUAGUCCAGCUUGUGAACAGUCCCCAGAUCCCACACAGGAGACAACCCUAUUUGUUCCCCUCCACCCUCCAAUAUUUUUCUGCCAUUCCUCCCUUGUUAGGGAGAGGGGAAGGGCAAGGAGACAUAUUCGAAGAAGUUAACGUUUGACCACCUUUGAGGGAAUCUGACCUGUUGUUGUUGUGUAUUUGAUCUUGUUUUAGCUCUAUGUUUGAUGUAUGUUUGUCAAAUAAAAGUUACUGUUCCCGUC